rnacentral:RNase_P_RNA from 1 species
CGGGUCGGACAGUCGCGUGAACAGCGCCGAAAGGCCGUUCAUGAGGAAAGUCCGGGCUCCACAGGGCAAGGAUAACGGGUAACGCCCGCCGAAGGCAACUUCAGGAAUAGUGCAACAGAAAUAUACCGCUGCGUCCGGCAAGUCCGAGCUCCCUCAAAAAACUGGGGGACCCCGCAAAACGAAGUUUUGUGGGGAAAGGAGUUGCAGCGAAAUGGACGAGCUUUGCCGCUUGCGGCGAAGCGAGGGAUAUGGAGCAUGCAACGAUGUAGCAAGGGUGGAAAGGUGCGGUAAGAGCGCACCCGGUGGCUCGAGAGUGCCCACCGCUGUAAACUCUAUCCGGAGCAACACCGCAGAGGAGACAAGGCUUGCCCGGCCGUCUCCGAGAAGGUGGCUGGAGCGCACCGGCAACGAUGCGCCUAGAUAGAUGACUGUCGAUUACAGAACCCGGCUUACAGACCCGAUCG